AUUCUGAUAACCUAGGUCUGAAGGUCUGAUAACCUAGCUCAUUGAGCACUGCACAGCACAACUUUACUCGUAACAAUGCCUUUUAAGCACAAGAGUGGAAGUAGAAAAGGGCAAGAGAAAAAAGAACAGGAUGAGAAGGCGGCAAAGCUGCCCAAAUUAGAUUAUUUUGGCUUUUGAAUUGCCGUCAACUAGUCGCCAGAUCACGGAGUCAGUUCAGCUGGGAUCAGAAUCGCUGGUUCUGCCCUCAGUGGUGUGUCAGCAACCAUGCAACAGUUAACAAUUGUUACGACCCAGCUGAGCCGAGUGGAUCGAUGGCAGGUCGACCGAGCCCAGACACUGUGUGUGUGCACUUGAGUGCUGACGCUGUGACAUCAGAGGACACCCACCCCAGUGCAGUCCUCCUCUGGGGCGACCAUCAUGGGCAUUUCAAAGAGAGCCGCUUCCACCAUGGCAACACAGUGAAGGAGAUGAGUACAGGUCCAGCGGUGCUACGAAAGAGUCUGAACCCUGAUGACUCAGUAAUGCUGGGCUGCUGUGCUGGUUACCAUGGAAGAGAGAGGUCCAUAGCUGCAGCCUAAUGGUUAUUUCCUGCCAGGAGUGAAGCAAGGAGGUGUAUUCUGUGGAAGCACAUUUGACGAUUCCAUCUUUCUAUCUUGCUCCCUUUCGG
ensembl:lncRNA